GAUGAACGCUGGCGGCGUGCCUAAUACAUGCAAGUCGAGCGAACAGACGAGGAGCUUGCUCCUCUGACGUUAGCGGCGGACGGGUGAGUAACACGUGGAUAACCUACCUAUAAGACUGGGAUAACUUCGGGAAACCGGAGCUAAUACCGGAUAAUAUAUUGAACCGCAUGGUUCAAUAGUGAAAUACGGUUUUGCUGUCACUUAUAGAUGGAUCCGCGCCGCAUUAGCUAGUUGGUAAGGUAACGGCUUACCAAGGCAACGAUGCGUAACCGACCUGAGAGGGUGAUCGGCCACACUGGAACUGAGGCACGGUCCAGACUCCUACGGGAGGCAGCAGUAGGGAAUCUUCCGCAAUGGGCGAAAGCCUGACGGAGCAACGCCGCGUGAGUGAUGAAGGUCUUCGGAUCGUAAAACUCUGUUAUUAGGGAAGAACAAAUGUGUAAGUAACUAUGCACGUCUUGACGGUACCUAAUCAGAAAGCCACGGCUAACUACGUG
rnacentral:rRNA from 1 species